rnacentral:rRNA from 1 species
UACGGGGGGAGCAAGCGUUGUUCGGAUUUACUGGGCGUAAAGGGCGCGUAGGCGGCCUUGUAAGUCCUGUGUGAAAUCCCCCGGCUCAACUGGGGAACUGCACAGGAGACUGCUUGGCUUGAGUUCGGGAGAGGGAAGCGGAAUUCCGGGUGUAGCGGUGAAAUGCGUAGAUAUCCGGAGGAACACCGGUGGCGAAGGCGGCUUCCCGGACCGACAGCUGACGCUGAGGCGCGAAAGCCAGGGGAGCAAACGGG